rnacentral:rRNA from 1 species
AUGCAACGCGAAGAACCUUACCUACUCUUGACAUCCAAAGUACUUAUCAGAGAUGAAAAGGUGCCUUAGGGAACUUUGAGACAGGUGCUGCAUGGCUGUCGUCAGCUCGUGUUGUGAAAUGUUGGGUUAAGUCCCGUAACGAGCGCAACCCUUGUCCUUAGUUGCCAGCGCGUAAAGGCGGGAACUUUAAGGAGACUGCUGGUGAGAAACCGGAGGAAGGCGGGGACGACGUCAAGUCAUCAUGGCCCUUACGAGUAGGGCUACACACGUGCUACAAUGGCAAAUACAAAGGGUCGCAAAACGGUAACGUAAAGCUAAUCCCAAAAAAGUUGUCUAAGUUCGGAUUGGAGUCUGCAACUCGACUCCAUAAAGUUGGAAUCGCUAGUAAUCGCGAAUCAGAAUGUCGCGGUGAAUACGUUCUCGGGCCUUGUACACACCGCCCGUCACACCAUGGAAGUGAAAUGCAACAGAAGUGGCUAGUUUAACAGAUGGAAAACAGUUACUACGGUGUGUUUCAUGACUGGGGUGAAGUCGUAACAAGGUAGGCGUAGACGU